AGUGAACGCUGGCGGUAGGCCUAACACAUGCAAGUCGAACGGCAGCACAGGAGAGCUUGCUCUCUGGGUGGCGAGUGGCGGACGGGUGAGGAAUACAUCGGAAUCUACCUUGUCGUGGGGGAUAACGUAGGGAAACUUACGCUAAUACCGCAUACGACCUUCGGGUGAAAGUGGGGGACCGCAAGGCCUCACGCGAUUAGAUGAGCCGAUGUCGGAUUAGCUAGUUGGCGGGGUAAAAGCCCACCAAGGCGACGAUCCGUAGCUGGUCUGAGAGGAUGAUCAGCCACACUGGAACUGAGACACGGUCCAGACUCCGACGGGAGGCAGCAGUGGGGAAUAUUGGACAAUGGGCGCAAGCCUGAUCCAGCCAUACCGCGUGGGUGAAGAAGGCCUUCGGGUUGUAAAGCCCUUUUGUUGGGAAAGAAAUCUUGCCGGUUAAUACCUGGCGAGGAUGACGGUACCCAAAGAAUAAGCACCGGCUAACUUCGUGCCAGCAGCCGCCGCGGUAA
rnacentral:rRNA from 1 species